rnacentral:hammerhead_ribozyme from 1 species
AUUCAACUGAUGAGUCUCAAAUAGGACGAAACGUGCGUCCUGGAU